rnacentral:rRNA from 1 species
ACGGCUCAGUAACACGUGGCUAAUCUGCCCUUGGGACAAGAACAACCCCGGGAAACUGGGGCUAAUUCUUGAUAGGCGAAGAACUCUGGAAUGAGUCUUCACCCAAUAGGUUUAAAGUUAUGCGCUUUAAACUGCCCAAGGAUGAGGCCGCGACCGAUCAGGUUGUUGGUGAGGUAAUGGCUCACCAAGCCUUUUACCGGUGCGGGCCGUGAGAGCGGGAGCCCGGAGAUGGGCACUGAGACAAGGGCCCAGGCCCUACGGGGCGCAGCAGUCGCGAAAACUUUGCAAUAAGCGAAAGCUUGACAGGGCUAUCCCGAGUGCCAUCCGCUGAGGAAGGCUUUUACCCAGUCUAGAACGCUGGGGGAAUAAGGAGAGGGCAAGUCUGGUGUCAGCCGCCGCGGUAAUACCAGCUCUCCGAGUGGUGUGGAUGUUUAUUGGGCCUAAAGCAUCCGUAGCUGGCUAAGUUAGUCCCUUGUUAAAUCCACCGAAUUAAUCGUUGGAUUGCGGGGGAUACUGCUUGGCUAGGGGACGAGAGAGGCAGACGGUAUUUCCGGGGUAGGGGUGAAAUCCUAUAAUCCCGGGAAGACCACCAGUGGCGAAGGCUGUCUGCUAGAACGCGCCCGACGGUGAGGGAUGAAAGCUGGGGGAGCGAACCGGAUUAGAUACCCGGGUAGUCCCAGCUGUAAACGAUGCAGACUAGGUGUUUGGACGGCCACGUGCCGUUCUAGUGCCGCAGGGAAGCUGUUAAGUCUGCCGCCUGGGGAGUACGAUCGCAAGAUUGAAACUUAAAGGAAUUGGCGGGGGAGCAC